USGGAGCAAACAGGAUUAGAUACCCUGGUAGUCCACGCCGUAAACGAUGAUCAUUAGUCGGUGGAGAAUCACUGACGCAGCUAACGCAUUAAAUGAUCCGCCUGAGUAGUAUGCUCGCAAGAGUGAAACUUAAAGGAAUUGACGGGGACCCGCACAAGCGGUGGAGCAUGUGGUUUAAUUUGAAGAUACACGGAAAACCUUACCCACUCUUGACAUCCUUCGCAAAGCUAUAGAGAUAUAGUGGAGGUUAACAGAGUGAAGAUGGUGCAA
rnacentral:rRNA from 1 species